rnacentral:rRNA from 1 species
AUUGAACGCUGGCGGCAGGCCUAACACAUGCAAGUCGAGCGGUAGCAGGCCUUCGGGCGCUGACGAGCGGCGGACGGGUGAGGAACACGUAGGAAUCUGCCUUGUAGUGGGGGAUAGCCCAGAGAAAUUUGGAGUAAUACCGCAUAUGCCCUGAGGGGGAAAGUGGGGGACCGAAAGGCCUCACGCUAUGAGAGGAGCUUGCGUCGGAUUAGCUAGUUGGUGGGGUAAGAGCCCACCAAGGCGACGAUCCGUAGCUGGUCUGAGAGGAUGAUCAGCCACACUGGAACUGAGACACGGUCCAGACUCCUACGGGAGGCAGCAGUGGGGAAUAUUGGACAAUGGGGGCAACCCUGAUCCAGCCAUGCCGCGUGUGUGAAGAAGGCC